GGAGUCUGGGCCGUAUCUCAGUCCCAAUGUGGCCGGUCGGUCUCUCAACCCGGCUACCCGUCGUCGGCACGGUGGGCCGUUGCCCCGCCGUCUACCUGAUGGGCCGCGACCCCAUCCCAUACCGCCGGAGCUUUCCCGCAGCCGCCAUGCAGCGGUUGCGGAGUAUCCGGUAUUAGCCGCCGUUUCCAGCGGUUGUCCCGGUGUAUGGGGCAGGUCGGUCACGUGUUACUCACCCGUUCGCCACUCUAUGACCGCCCGAAGGCGGGUUAAUCGUUCGACUUGCAUGUGUUAAGCACGCCGCCAGCGUUCAUC
rnacentral:rRNA from 1 species